GGGGAUUUAGCUCAGUGGUAGAGAGCUUGCCUAACAAGUGCAAGGCCCUGGGUUCGGUUCCCAGCUCCG
rnacentral:tRNA from 1 species